rnacentral:rRNA from 1 species
GACGAACGCUGGCGGCGUGCUUAACACAUGCAAGUCGAACGGAAAGGCCUGCUUUCCCUUGUGGAUUGCGGGUACUCGAGUGGCGAACGGGUGAGUAACACGUGAGUGAUCUGCCCCCAACUUGGGUAUAAGCCUGGGAAACUGGGUCUAAUUCCCGAUAGGACUGCAGGGUGGUGCCUGUGGUGGAAAACGAUUUUCUAGUGGUUGGGGAUGAGCUCGCGGCCUAUCAGCUUGUUGGUGGGGUAAUGGCCUACCAAGGCGGCGACGGGUAGCCGGCCUGAGAGGGUGGACGGCCACAUUGGGACUGAGAUACGUCCCAGACUCCUACGGGAGGCAGCAGUGGGGAAUAUUGCACAAUGGGCGGAAGCCUGAUGCAGCGACGCCGCGUGGGGGAUGACGGCCUUCGGGUUGUAAACUCCUUUCGACCGCGAGGAAGCCACCUGGUUGGAAGGGUGGUGACGGUAGUGGUAGAAGAAGCACCGGCUAACUACGUG